GAUGAACGCUGGCGGUGUGCCUAAUACAUGCAAGUCGAGCGAAUGGAUUAAGAGCUUGCUCUUAUGAAGUUAGCGGCGGACGGGUGAGUAACACGUGGGUAACCUGCCCAUAAGACCGGGAUAACUCCGGGAAACCGGGGCUAAUACCGGAUAACAUUUUGAACCGCAUGGUUCGAAAUUGAAAGGCGGCUUCGGCUGUCACUUAUGGAUGGACCCGCGUCGCAUUAGCUAGUUGGUGAGGUAACGGCUCACCAAGGCAACGAUGCGUAGCCCACCUGAGAGGGUGAUCGGCCACACUGGGACUGAGACACGGCCCAGACUCCUACGGGAGGCAGCAGUAGGGAAUCUUCCGCAAUGGACGAAAGUCUGACGGAGCAACGCCGCGUGAGUGAUGAAGGCUUUCGGGUCGUAAAACUCUGUUGUUAGGGAAGAACAAGUGCUAGUUGAAUAAGCUGGCACCUUGACGGUACCUAACCAGAAAGCCACGGCUAACUACGUGCCAGCCGCCGCCGUAA
rnacentral:rRNA from 1 species